AGGGGCGUCGCCAAGUGGUAAGGCAGCGGGUUUUGAUCNNCCCGCCAUCCGUUGGUUCGAAUCCAGCCGCCCCUGCCA
rnacentral:tRNA from 1 species